UGUCCAGCUCCUCGCUUCGAUGCUGAAGCUCCACCACCAGAUCAUACAUCAUGUUCUGAGUCUGGAAAGCAACAGUGAGGACAGUUUGUACAUUAGACUUUUACAGAACGUUGUGCCCCAUAUGAAGAGACAUCAGGAGCUGAGUGUCCAUCAUGAAGUUAUGGACGUGCUUUUCAGCUCUGGUGAGUUCUGACUUCCUUGCAACAACGGCAACCACUAAUGCUGUACAGCCCGCUCCCUGAGGACAAGAGCAGUGGGUAGUGACACUGUGGCAUACUGUGGCAAACCCCCUUCCCGCAGUAGGUGUGAGGGACCAUGUCGCCGUAGCCGAUGGACAGGAAGGUGAUGGAGAUCAGCCACAUUGCUCCAAGGAAGGUCACUAAUAGGAUGCUUCCAACAUGCAGAACAGAACUGUUCAGAAGAAGCGGAGCAGCUUGAGUGGGUGCUGGACAGCGGCUUGCCUCCUCCCAGUACGAACACUUGAUAAAGGAGCUUUGGAGACGCUUUCCUUUGAAAGUAAUGAUUAGAAUUCAACAUGAAGAAAGAAAAGGGCAGCAGCACCUGGCCUGCUAAAGGGUUGUCAUGCAAAUGGUUCGGUAGGAGGGUAAGCAACAGGUUAGGAAAAACAAAAACCUGUAACAUCAGACCAGAGUGUUAAGGCGGAACAUCACACGUACAAGCUCAAAGAACUCCCUAUAAAUCGGGAGUGGACUGAUUGGUUGCUAUGGGAAAGAAAAGAACCUGGUCGUUUACAAUGCAAAAAAGGGAAAUAAAAGGUCAGUUGAACUUGUCAUUGAAGCUCUGUGGUUCAAAGGCCUCGGCACGGGCUCUUAUCUCCUCGGCCACAACAGCCCGGCUGGACAAAAGUGGCCUUUUUAAAAAUCUGGUUCUGAAUAAAUCAAGCCAGUGAGUGCAAAGUCUCCUCAGAUGUGUCCUAACAAACGUAUCAACAUGAACAACUUUGUAAUAAUUCUAUUGAACGAUAUAUUAAAGAAAUAACAGUGUUGUUCAAAGUCUUGAUUCAGUCAGCAGGAGUGGUGUUGUUUUCACAACCAAGUACUGACUGCUUUUCUAAUGGUUUUUGUUACAAUUUAGAUACAAAACAUGAAACAGGUCUGAUUCCUUUCAAAGUGUAGUACAUGCAAUUUAAA